UACGGGGGGAGCAAGCGUUGUUCGGAUUUACUGGGCGUAAAGGGCGCGUAGGCGGCCAGCACAAGUCAGUUGUGAAAUCUCCGAGCUUAACUCGGAAAGGUCAACUGAUACUGUGCGGCUAGAGUGCAGAAGGGGCAACUGGAAUUCUUGGUGUAGCGGUGAAAUGCGUAGAUAUCAAGAGGAACACCUGCGGCGAAGGCGGGUUGCUGGGCUGACACUGACGCUGAGGCGCGAAAGCUAGGCGAGCGAACGGG
rnacentral:rRNA from 1 species